CCUCAGAUCAGGUAGGAGUACCCGCUGAACUUAA
rnacentral:rRNA from 2 species